rnacentral:lncRNA from 1 species
GCCGCCCAAACACAGCCGCAUAUAACCUGUUCGGUUUCGACACCAUUACACACCAUCUCGACAUCCUCACAACCUCACAAUACCCUUUCACAUAACCGUUGCACUUCACCGGAGAAACCCGAACGCCGCCGGAACAACACCACGAACGCUAUCGGAGUUUGAGAUUUCACCGGAAAAACUCGAAGAGCCGAAGGUUUCCACAACUCGUCGGAGUUCCUUUGAUCCGUCGAGGAAUAACGAACCUUGCCGGAGGUGCUUAAACGCUGUUCGAGGAGCCUACACGUGUGGGAGUUGCAGCGGAUUCACCGGAGACCUACCGGAGAACUCAAAGACGGCACUGGAGCUCGGAGACGACAUCGCAACGAGAACCAUCCACGGCUUCGGAAACCGACAUGAGAGUCUUAUGUUGUCCGAUUCUUUAAAAAUUUUUGGUAAUCGCUCUCGUUCGUUCCCUUGGAAUUCUCCAUCUUUACUCGUGCGAUAUUUCAAGGAAUUCUUAAACGCAAUCAAUGUUUAGCGAUGAUGUUGGUGAUGCAUGGAAUCUAGUAGGAUGCUUAAAUACACACUUUAAUUUGUAUUCACAUUGUAUUGUAUUUCAUUAUUCAUGAUGUUGUAUUUACUUCAAAUUCUUGUAAUUGAUUCUUUAGAAAUGAAAUGAAAUUUA